UACGUAGGGUCCGAGCGUUGUCCGGAAUUACUGGGCGUAAAGAGCUCGUAGGUGGUUUGUCGCGUUGUUCGUGAAAACUCACAGCUUAACUGUGGGCGUGCGGGCGAUACGGGCAGACUUGAGUACUGCAGGGGAGACUGGAAUUCCUGGUGUAGCGGUGGAAUGCGCAGAUAUCAGGAGGAACACCGGUGGCGAAGGCGGGUCUCUGGGACGUGACUGACGCUGAGACGCGAAAGCGUGGGGAGCAAACAGG
rnacentral:rRNA from 1 species